GUCACGUAACUGAUCAACAGCAAUCAACUUCCUCCAGCUUGUGACGUCACGCCGAUUUAAAAUCAAGCAAUUCCCAUUAAAGAGUAAUGAGAUCCCGCGCUGUUCCAGAGCCUCUUAUUUUGAAAGGACGAACAACCAAAGUUUGUUCUGAGAGACGCGUGCACGCGCGUGAGGUUGCCCAUGGUUACGUGGUGUCCGCGGGGCACGGUGCGGUCAGAGCACAGCGCCAUCCGGUGGCAGAGAUGAAAACAGCAGCAGUUUGUGAUGAAACGAGAUUCUGGUUUCCUCUGGAACCGGAAGAGGUUCGGUAGAAUCACGGAUCAGCUUUUCUACUGGCUCAUCACAGGAUUAAGGGAAUGAAAAGCAGACAGACUGGCUAAAGAGAGAACCAAUCAGCUCUUCCUUCCUCCUAGAACCGGAUCUGACCUCUUGAGACUCGGACCCACCUGGACCACCUGACUGCGCUGCUCCGCUGGGCCCUGGAUUCCUCCACACCCACCACCCUGCUGCUGCUCCACCCUCGGCUACCUGCUGGAACUCCUCCACCUGGAAACCCCUCACUGCCCCAAGGAGCUGAUCUGAACCCUAAACCGUUAGCCUUCACCAGGCCAUCAU